rnacentral:rRNA from 1 species
CCUACGGGAGGCAGCAGUGGGGAAUAUUGCGCAAUGGGCGCAAGCCUGACGCAGCGACGCCGCGUGUGUGAUGAAGGUCUUCGGAUCGUAAACCUCUUUCAGCGGGGAAGAACGGUCACUGUGCUAAUCAGCAGUGCAUUGACGGUACCUGCAAAGGAAGCACCGGCUAACUCCGUGCCAGCAGCCGCGGUAAUACGGAGGGUGCGAGCGUUAAUCGGAAUUACUGGGCGUAAAGCGCUCGUAGGCGGUAUGUCAAGUCAAGGGUGAAAUCCCCGCGCUCAACGUGGGAACUGCCUUUGAAACUGGCAAACUGGAGUGUCUGAGAGGAUAGUGGAAUUCCAGGUGUAGGAGUGAAAUCCGUAGAUAUCUGGAGGAACAUCAGUGGCGAAGGCGACCACCUGGCACAUAACUGACGCUGAGGAGCGAAAGCGUGGGUAGCAAACAGGAUUAGAUACCCUGGUAGUC